GUCUUUGGAGUCUGGACGGCAGGAAGGCUUGGCAGGACCGGUUUGAAAAGCUCUCACUGAAAGCCCGGAGUACACCCGGCUCUGAAGACAAUCCCCAGGACCAAGCUCAACUCCAUGGUUAACUGUGUGGAAGCAGAGUAGCAGGAAGUCCUGAAGAGCCUGCUCAAGUCCUCCCAAACCGAGAAGCAGGUCUCUUGGAGAAAAGGCUCUUCUGGAUCAUCAUUGCAGGGAUGUCUGUGCUGCUGUACAAAAAUCAUCCUUUUUCAGGACAGAAACAUUAUCUUCUGAAUUUGCAGUGCCAUGAUGUUGCAUCAAGAUGUCACCAGGCAAAAAAAGGAGCUUGGUUUGGCAGACAUGUUAAGGGAUUGUUUGGACUUAUUUUCAAAAUUAUUUGCCCAGUUCAGAGGCAAGGAAGGUAUUCUCACCAGGCUCCGCCCAAUUAAAUAAUCCCCCUCCUCAACCCACUCUGUGUGCUGUUCCACAAAACCUGAAUCUUUCUGCUAAAACAACCAUCAGUGAAAUCAUUAAAAAUACUGAGCAAGAGGGUA